rnacentral:rRNA from 1 species
UGGGGAAUUUUGGACAAUGGGGGAAACCCUGAUCCAGCCAUCCCGCGUGUGCGAUGAAGGCCUUCGGGUUGUAAAGCACUUUUGGCAGGAAAGAAACGUCAUGGGUUAAUACCCCGUGAAACUGACGGUACCUGCAGAAUAAGCACCGGCUAACUACGUGCCAGCAGCCGCGGUAAUACGUAGGGUGCAAGCGUUAAUCGGAAUUACUGGGCGUAAAGCGUGCGCAGGCGGUUCGGAAAGAAAGAUGUGAAAUCCCAGAGCUCAACUUUGGAACUGCAUUUUUAACUACCGGGCUAGAGUGUGUCAGAGGGAGGUGGAAUUCCGCGUGUAGCAGUGAAAUGCGUAGAUAUGCGGAGGAACACCGAUGGCGAAGGCAGCCUCCUGGGGUAACACUGACGCUCAUGCACGAAAGCGUGGGGAGCAAACAGG